rnacentral:rRNA from 1 species
AUACGGAGGGUGCAAGCGUUAAUCGGAAUUACUGGGCGUAAAGCGUACGUAGGCGGUUAUUUAAGUCAGAUGUGAAAGCCCCGGGCUUAACUUGGGAACUGCAUUUGAAACUGGGUAGCUAGAGUUUAGUAGAGGGGAGUGGAAUUUCAGGUGUAGCGGUGAAAUGCGUAGAGAUCUGAAGGAACACCAGUGGCGAAGGCGACUCCCUGGACUAAAACUGACGCUGAGGUACGAAAGCGUGGGUAGCAAACAGGAUUAGAAACCCUAGUAGUCC